CUCCGAGGAGGUGCAGCGACGAACAGUGGAGCUCGGGGACGCCCCGAGGGAACCCGGACACCAACUGAGCCUGGGACCAGUGAUGACCAACCCAGGAUUUGUCUUCUGGUGCCUUGGACUGCCUGGUGAAGAAGAACUUGGAACCAUCAGUAGCUCUUUCCUGUGCAGUGGCCAUACACAAAGGGGUUCAACCUUGUUUCUGGCUUUCAUGAAGCUCAUUCUUGUCUCAAAUUUGCUGCCACCGAGGAAGAUGACC